rnacentral:rRNA from 1 species
UACGAAGGGGGCUAGCGUUGCUCGGAAUCACUGGGCGUAAAGCGCACGUAGGCGGACUCUUAAGUCGGUGGUGAAAUCCUGGAGCUCAACUCCAGAACUGCCUUCGAUACUGGGAGUCUCGAGUUCGGGAGAGGUGAGUGGAACUGCUAGUGUAGAGGUGAAAUUCGUAGAUAUUCGCAAGAACACCAGUGGCGAAGGCGGCUCACUGGCCCGAUACUGACGCUGAGGUGCGAAAGCGUGGGGAGCGAACAGG